UACGUAGGGUGCGAGCGUUGUCCGGAAUUAUUGGGCGUAAAGGGCUCGUAGGCGGUUUGUCGCGUCGGGAGUGAAAUCCACUGGCUUAACUGGUGGCUUGCUUUCGAUACGGGCAGACUGGAGGUAUGCAGGGGAGAACGGAAUUCCUGGUGUAGCAGUGAAAUGCGUAGAUAUCAGGAGGAACACCGAUGGCGAAGGCAGGUCUCUGGGCUGACACUGACGCUCAUGCACGAAAGCGUGGGGAGCAAACAGG
rnacentral:rRNA from 1 species